UGUGUCGCUGAUGCUGAUGAUUCUGGUGAGGACAAGCAGCUAAAUUUUGAGACAAUACAGACAUUGGCACUACUACCCUUACUUGGUCGUUAUUUCUUGUCCUCUUUCGCCACUAGCGUCGUUGCCCGUUCCAGGUAAAUGCAUGUCUCAAGGACCGUGCGACUGGCAAAAUGGAGCCGCAGUGGGGCUUCAACAGUUGCUGGGCUAUUGUAACGGCUUAUAGUCAGUCGAACGACGAUUGGAACGGUCGGCCGCUUGUCGGACAUUGCUGCCAUGUUGUCAGUCGUAUCCAGACAAAAAGACAGUUGUGACGAUGGUGAUGAAACGUGGCUGCGCUGUUCAGCCGAAAGCAGUAGACGCACUGAGAGAACAAAACGUUGUAAGGUCUUGUUGAAAUAUGCACCACUGCAAUUUCUGUAGGAAUCGGGUUGGUUUUGAAGAGUACUUGGGAAUGGGGCUUGUGAAAUCUGUUCUUUCGUCCUGGCUGCCCUACUGGACAACGCGAGGACGAGGAAUCGUGUCGUCGGCGCUAUAGUGUACUGCACCUACCAGAUGUACGAGCAUGAGGGAUUAGAGGUUCGUUGCUCAUAUCUAUACUCGGUCGGAUUGACUUGGCUUUGCACAGGAUUUGCCUUUGCUCGCACAUGCACGAUCGUACAUUGCUGUCUGCGAAAGUGACAAAGAGGGCCAGGCGCCAAGAGGAGCAGGUACCUACGCAGCUGAAGAGUAGAAGCGGCUGCUGGAGCAGCUGAAUUUAUCAUGCACGCAUUGCAUGGCAAGAAGUGAGGGUAAAAUAAGAACAAGCACGACGACAGAUAGAAAGAAGGCAUUUUAAAGACCGGUUGUGCGCGAAGAAAAGAAUGUUGUACGGGGUACUACGGUAACAGCAUGAUAAAGGCCAAGCCGAAAACAACCUGUGUAAUGUAACCGGGUGCGUUUGGCGAAAUUGUAUUCAAUUUCUUCAAAGGGGACGUGUUGCCUUUUAGCUGUUCAUGUGAACAUGCUUCUGAGGUUUAGCUGAGGGUAAAAACGGCGAAAAUCGCUGAAUUGGCGGACACGACAGAGACCAGCGGCAAUGCUUGGGUAAUACUACUGAUGCGUCAAACAUAUGGCGGCACAUGAUGAGAAAGGGCACCGUCAGUGAAAGCUUUUUUACCGUCGCUCUCCUUUUUCUCGCCACCUCUGGUUUGCUCUUCUGUUAGAAGAUACGACGACCACUGCUAUUCCCAGGGUGCGGACACUUCCCGUUAUAGCAAUGACUAAUUUCGCUACUUUUAUUGUGCGGCUGUUUCUGCUGUAAGUAAGAAAGUAGUACUAAAUUUCGGUACGUUCUCAACUGUGGUCAGCGUCGAAAGAGCGACGGGCAUUAACUUCUAUGACGUCGGAGCCGGGCAAAAAAGAGAAAGAGCUACCAGCAAAGAAUUUUGCCGUCGUCUUUAAGAAGACAGCAACCGCCUAGUCUUCCGACCAACCGACCAACCCUAUUUCGGUGAUGCACCUCGCUUUCCUUUAGUAGAGCGAGACAAAAGCAACUAGCUUGCCAAGUGUCUUUGACCUAUUGCUUGCAAGCCACUUUGUUACUCAGCAAAUAACAUUUCGGUGGAGGCCCGCGGCUAUCCACGGGUCGUCGUUUGAAAACCGGGUAUUGGGGGCCAUGGUGGUGAUGGUAGGAGAUGAAGUGGCGGCCGGUAGUAGCCUGUGGCAUGCGGUGGUAAAGAGCGGAGAAGAACGAAAGGGGUUUGAUGCGGUAGGGGGCGUAGAACCGACCAGAAAGGUGGGAAAAAAGCCACCGAAAGAGACAUAGUGUAACCAAACGAAUUCUUGUUCGAGCGAAAGCGACUCUGGUGGCAGCACCAGCGGGUGUCGCUGUUACCUCUGGGUCAAAUGUACAACAUUACGUAAAUUACAUGCCAGCAAAUUAAACAAAAGUGUGGUUUUGUAGAGACUUCAGGAUGUUUGAGUUUCUGCUACAGAUCGUUUUAGUUUCUUAGUGAAAAAAAGGACGGCGCUCAAAGCAACCGGCGACAAAAGAACUGUGUCGCACCGUGUAAUGUUUGUAAAAUAUUUCUAUUUUUAUUUAUUAAUUUAUUUACUAUCUAGUUCUCCCGUACUUUUCGGUAUGUGAAUAGAUUUUAACAAGGUACACUACACGUUUUAAAUAUGUGUUCUGUGAGCUCCAUUAAUUUUACGUUUACAUGACACGCCUAAUACAGGAUAUCGAUACAAAUGCGCGGGUACGAAAUGAAUGGAUGCUGUCGAAAAAGGAAAUCCCGACACCAGUGUCGAGAUCCCUGCCUCUACGACUAUGGCGGGCUUGAUACAGAUGGUUACAGAAUAUCAGAAUAGAUUAAAAUAUCUAAAGCUAGACAACUCCGUACAUUUCAUUUCAACAUAUAUACAACAAUGGUUGUUAUCUUCACCAUCUCGUUCUUUAAAGAGCCGUAAAAUGGAUUUUGCGCUUUGUUUUCAAGUGAAACAUUAAUAAACCGAUGGUCGACCGGCGUGCUAUUG
rnacentral:lncRNA from 1 species